rnacentral:rRNA from 1 species
GUAGGGUGCGAGCGUUAAUCGGAAUUACCUGGGGGUAAAGUGUGCGCAGGCGGCCGAGCAAGUAGAGUGUGAAAGCCCCGGCCUUACCCCGGGCAGUGCGUUUGAAACUGCUUGUCUUGAGUGUGGCAGAGGGAGGUGGAAUUCCUGGUGUAGCGGUGAAAUGCGUAGAGAUCUGUAGGAACACCGAUGGCGAAGGCAGCCUCUUGGGCCAGCACUGACGCUCAGGCGCGAAAGCGUGGGGAGCAAACAGGAUUAGAUACCCCGGUAGUCCCCGCCGUAAACGAUGGCGACUAGUUUCGGAGGAGUGAAAUCCUUUAGUAACGCAGCUAACGCGUGAAGUAUUCCGCCUGGGGAGUACGGUCGCAAGAUUA